rnacentral:rRNA from 1 species
AACGAACGCUGGCGGCAUGCCUAACACAUGCAAGUCGAACGAGACCUUCGGGUCUAGUGGCGCACGGGUGCGUAACGCGUGGGAACCUGCCUUUAGGUUCGGAAUAACUCAGAGAAAUUUGAGCUAAUACCGGAUAAUGUCUUCGGACCAAAGAUUUAUCGCCUUUAGAUGGGCCCGCGUUGGAUUAGCUAGUUGGUGGGGUAAAGGCCUACCAAGGCGACGAUCCAUGGCUGGUCUGAGAGGAUGAUCAGCCACACUGGGACUGAGACACGGCCCAGACUCCUACGGGAGGCAGCAGUGGGGAAUAUUGGACAAUGGGCGAAAGCCUGAUCCAGCAAUGCCGCGUGAGUGAUGAAGGCCUUAGGGUUGUAAAGCUCUUUUACCCGAGAUGAUAAUGACAGUAUCGGGAGAAUAAGCUCCGGCUAACUCCGUGCCAGCAGCCGCGGU